UCUCCGUUGGUGAACCAGCGGAGGGAUCAUUACAGAGUUUUCACAACUCCCAACCCUUGCGAACCGUACCCAUUCUGUUCUCGUUGCUUCCGGCGGGGGGGACGUGGGGGCCCGAAACGGCCUCCCCGCCCCGCCCGCCGGGCGCGGCGGGCCCUACGAACCUUUAUGUCUCAACCACCAGAAACCGUCUGAGAAAACAAACAAAAAAAUCAAAACUUUCAACAACGGAUCUCUUGGCUCUG
rnacentral:misc_RNA from 1 species